AGAGGUCAGCCUGCCCAGUGAUAAAAUUCAACGGCCGCGGUACCCUAACCGUGCGAAGGUAGCAUAAUCACUUGUUCUCUAAAUAGGGACUUGUAUCAACGGCAUCACGAGGGCUGUACUGUCUCCUUUCUCCAAUCAGUGAAACUGAUCUCCCCGUGAAGAAGCGGGGAUUUUUAUAUAAGACGAGAAGACCCCAUGGAGCUUUAAACUCAUCAUAUACCUCCUUACUCCUAUGCCAAACCAUACAAGGAACCUAUGUGUUAGUUUUGGGUUGGGGGGACCACGGAGUAUAAUUUAACCUCCAUGACAAAUGGGCUAACGCCCUUAUCUAUGAACUACAACUCUAAGAACCACAAACUGAUGUUUAAUGACCCGACAAUUCGAUCAACGAACCAAGUUACCCUGGGGAUAACAGCGCAAUCUACUUCAAGAGCCCCUAUCGACAAGUAGGUUUACGACCUCGAUGUUGGAUCAGGGUAUCCUAGUGGUGCAGCCGCUUCUAAUGGUUCGUUUGUUCAACGAUUAAAACCCUACGUGAUCUGAGUUCAGCCCGG
rnacentral:rRNA from 1 species